UACAGAGGGUGCGACCGUUGUUCGGAAUUACUGGGCGUAAAGCGUGUGUAGGCGGCUGCGCAAGUCGGAUGUGAAAGCCCUGGGCUCAACCCAGGAAGUGCACCCGAAACUGCGUAGCUUGAGUCUCGGAGAGGUUGGUGGAACUCUCGGUGUAGAGGUGAAAUUCGUAGAUAUCGAGAGGAACACCGGUGGCGAAGGCGGGUCUCUGGGCCGAUACUGACACUGAGGAGCGAAAGCGUGGGGAGCGAACAGG
rnacentral:rRNA from 1 species